rnacentral:rRNA from 1 species
UACGUAGGGACUAAGCGUUGUUCGGAUUUACUGGGCGUAAAGGGCGCGUAGGCGGCGCGGUAAGUCACUUGUGAAAUCUCUGAGCUUAACUCAGAACGGCCAAGUGAUACUGCAGUGCUAGAGUGUGGAAGGGGCAAUCGGAAUUCUUGGUGUAGCGGUGAAAUGCGUAGAUAUCAAGAGGAACACCUGAGGUGAAGACGGGUUGCUGGGCCAACACUGACGCUGAUGCGCGAAAGCCAGGGGAGCAAACGGG